rfam:Cavia porcellus supercont2_16 genomic scaffold, whole genome shotgun sequence.
GGGGAUUUAGCUCAGCGGCGUAAGCGCCUGCUUUGCAAACAGGCGGUCGUGAGUUCAAUCCCCG